GAAAUAAUAUAAAAUUAAGCUUCUAACUUAAUAAAAAGCAAUUCAACAUGUUUAUAUUUCA
rnacentral:tRNA from 1 species